rnacentral:rRNA from 1 species
UGGGGAAUCUUGGACAAUGGGGGCAACCCUGAUCCAGCCAUGCCGCGUGAGUGAUGAAGGCCUUAGGGUCGUAAAGCUCUUUCGCCUGUGAAGAUAAUGACGGUAGCAGGUAAAGAAACCCCGGCUAACUCCGUGCCAGCAGCCGCGGUAAUACGGAGGGGGUUAGCGUUGUUCGGAAUUACUGGGCGUAAAGCGCACGUAGGCGGACCAGAAAGUUGGGGGUGAAAUCCCGGGGGCUCAACCCCGGAACUGCCUCCAAAACUAUUGGUCUAGAGUUCGAGAGAGGUGAGUGGAAUUCCAAGUGUAGAGGUGAAAUUCGUAGAUAUUUGGAGGAACACCAGUGGCGAAGGCGGCUCACUGGCUCGAUACUGACGCUGAGGUGCGAAAGUGUGGGGAGCAAACAGGAUUAGAUACCCUGGUAGUCCACACCGUAAAACGAUGAAUGCCAGUCGUCGGGGUAGCAUGCUAUUCGGUGACACACCUAACGGAUUAAGCAUUCC